CCCGCCCCCCCAGGUGCAGCUUGGCCCGGUCGGUCCCCNCUCGGCGGGCUGCUGGGCGCUGGGGUUAUUUAAAACAGCGAGCGGAGAGCAAGGGCAGAGUGAUGCAAUCCUUUAAGCAUGGCUGGGAAUGCUGUGUACAUGAUGCAAUCUCGUGUAACUGUCAGUCAUGAAUUGAGUAAUCUGUUAAAGAUGUUCCUACAGUUUUUUUUAUUAUAAAGAAUAAUCUAUUUCUAUAAGAAAAUACAUAUGUAUAUUUUGGGAUCUAUGCAUUCUUGCUACAUUUGAAGCAUUAAUGAACAAUUUUAAUAAACUUUAUGACUAGGUUAAAAUGUAGCUUGUUUUAUUUGGAGGGCACGUUUAAAGGUAGGUUAAAGGCAGAGCUGAAAAUCUAGCUGAAUCUGGCCCAAUGCUGAGAUCCGGGACCAGGAUUUUUGUCGGUCUUUUGACUUUCGCUGUGACUCAGCAAAAAAAAAAAAAAAGAAAGAAAAAGGCGAAAAAACAAAAAAAUCCAAGAGAAACCCAGUACAGAGCAGAGCUGGGAACUUUAGCCAGUUCUUUCUUUUUGCCUCUUUUUAUUUCCUCUUACCACUUGCCUUAGCUGCUGCUUGGGUGUUGUUUGGGGAGGAGGUGUUUGUUUUGGGCUUUUUGCAAUUCUCCCUGUUCUCGAUGUGUAGAGUGAGAUACGCUGUCCAAACCAUGACCAGUAUUUGGCAGAGUAACUCCAAGUCCGAAGUGGGAGGGAGGAAGAAAAAAGCAAGGAAGGAAGCUUGAAAUGAUUUUUUUCCCCUUGAGGAGUGUCUGUUCUCCAMGUUACGAUUCAGCAUUUCUUAUGUUUGUAGUUUUCAGGAAUAAACAUGAGAACAUAGCAAUUCUGUUGGAUGUCGGUAAUUUGGUGGUUGCUCGGGAAGCUCACGUGAAACCCAGGCAGAGCCUGUGUUCUGCUGAAGGAACUGUUCUGCAUUUUUGACACUUAAGAUCAUAUCAUCCUCCGACAGGUAAAUCUCCCACAGCUCUUACUAAAAUUUGGUUUGCCUUUCCUGCUCCCGCUAUGCCCCCCCAGCUCCUGCCAGCAGCUGUGCAGGGGUAAGGAGUGAGGUGUUCAGCCUGAAAGAGAUUCAUCUCCUUUUUUGCUUUUUAAUUUGCACAGUGCGGUUCAGGCGUUUCUGUGAGACCCUAGGAAUAGGUUGUCCCGGGUGAGCUAGCUGCUGCUGCAGCACGGCUCAAGUUGUUGCAGGCAGGAUAGACGUUAGAUCUUGUCUGGACUGUCCCUCGUGACGAUGAUUUCCCCAGCCUCCUGUGGCUGUUUAUUCUGCUAUUCUCCUUGUUACGAAACGGAUGCACGUUGUUAGAUCCUAUUUUCUGGUUGUGCUGUAGGCCAUGCAACGCUACCCAAACCUCGAAGCAGCGUUCCCGGGCAGAGCAGAGUGCUGCUGGGGGCAGAGGUGCUGCGGGAGCGGAGAUGUCCGGAGAUACAUUUCUCUUCUUCUUUCUAAGUGACAGAGCCUCCAUCAAAAGCUCAGUUUGUGGGGGCUGGGAAGCAGGGUAGAUUGAAAGAUAAGAUGUACUAAAGGUAUUUAUAUUUGUUUAAAUUAUAGUCCAGUUCUGGAGAUAGAGCUCUGUCAGGCCUGAAUGAGCUAAUCCCUGUCCUUAAACUUUGCCUGCUGCAGUUAACGAGAGUCAGAGCAGUGCUGUUGCAAUUUAAAGAAUGAUGUUUAAAUUACUGCUGUAUUCCAAUAUAUCUCCUAAUUUGGGUUACAGAUUUCUCAUUCUGGAGGGAACUUGUGCAGCACUGUGCUUUUGUCGGAAAGAUGCAAUUACAGACAGGAAAACUGAGGACAUAAAUGCACCAAUUUUACUCUAGUCUCACAAAGAAUUUGUGAACAAUUCASAAAGAGAAUUCCUGAAUCCGUCCUUCUUAAUCUUGUGUUAGCCACAUAACUUACAUUUCAGGAACUUUGUAGCAGUUU
ensembl:lncRNA